CUUCUUCCUUAUCAUCGCCUCCGUCAUCUUCGCCGCCUGUGUGGUAUCCCUACGAAUCGCAGAGGGAUUGGCGAAGGAAUUGCUUUUGAUGCUAUUGAAAUGGCCAGUGAGAGGAGAGAGAGAGAGAGAGAGAGAGGAGAGAGGCUGCGUUUGGAAUUGGCCUUGCAAAGGGGCUUUGAGGCUCUAAAGGUACUUAGGUCAAAGUUUGGGUGUUUGGGAACCACUUUGCAAUUCCCAUUAGGCCAAAGUCGGCCUUCUGAAGGCUGAAAGCCCAAGGCAGGUGCAAGGGUACCUUGGGCUUUCAGCUUUCUCGGCAUACAAGUUACACUGUUCAUCGUUUUAUUUUUUUUCAAAACCAUUCUAUUCUACUGUUCAUCGUCUUCUCUGCUGCUGAAGGACUUGUUGCUCGAAACUCCGCCGACGGCUCGGCAUGGUCGCGGUGGCCCAGGAGACCGUCGCCGGGGAAGGGUGCGACCGUCGCCGGGGAGUGGUGCGUGUCUGGGGCGCGGCGAUCGCCGUGGGUCGCGGCGGGGUCGCGCGGGAUUGGGGGCGGCGAGGUCGCGCGGGAGGUCCCGCGACCUUGCCGACCCAGAUCCGGGGACGGCGAGGUCGCGCGACCCCUCCGCGACCCAGAUCCGGGGGCGACGAGGUCCUCCCGCGACCUCACCGCCCCAGAUCUGGGUCGCGGCGGUCGCCGGAGGUCGCGCGACCUCGCCGCGACCCAGAUCCAGGGGCGGCGAGGUCGCGGCGGGGUGGCCUGACCUUCGGCAGCCUCCCGCCGAGGUCGCGGGACCUCGCCGCCCCAGAUCUGGGUCGCGGCGUGGUCGCCCGACGUCCGGCAGCCUCCCGCCGAGGUCGCGCGACCUCGCCGCCCCAGAUCUGGGUCGCGGUGGGUCGCCCGACGUCUAGCUUGCCUCGCCGGGGGUCGCCCGACGUCCGGCAGCCCUCGCCGGGGUUCGCCCGACGUCUGGCUUCCCUCGCCGGAGGUCGCCCGACGUCCGGCAGCCCUCGCCGGGGUUCGCCCAACGUCUGGCAACCCUCGCCGGGGGUCUCCCGACCUUUGCCCUUACCAGUUAAUUUUUUAUAUAUUUUUUUUAAUUUGUUUUAUCACAAAAGUCCUUUGUAAGUAUAAUUUUUCCAAACAUCAUUUUGCUCAAAGAUACUUCACAAUGGACUUUUAAAUUGUAAUUUACCAAACACAAUUUGCAUUCUGAAAAGUCCCCUCAACCUAAAGUCCUUUGCAUUUUCCUAAUGGCUUUCCCCAAAAGUCUAACCAAACGCACCCAGAGUCGGGGAGCUCCGGACCUGCGAGGUGGUGCGGUGGCGAUUGUUGGAGUUGGGAGACUGUUCAGAC
rnacentral:lncRNA from 1 species